GAGAUCCCUGCCUACCUGAGGCCUUCUGAAGGAACGCAGAAUAUCCCACAUCAGAAGGGAUUCACUCAGCUCUCGGCAUGUGUGGACUCCUCAGUUUAACCAGGAGCUUGUGGAACUGCUGUCUUGUAGUUCUUGUUCUGACAAGUGGAGAUAAGUUCUGAUCCUUGUGAUGAGUCCAGCUGUGGCAGGUGAUCCAGGUGCUGGGAGAGAAGCAGCUUACAGCACACGGAGCAACCUCAGUGUCCAAAGUGGGAGAACCCAAGGGAGA